AUUGAACGCUGGCGGCAAGCCUAACACAUGCAAGUCGAACGAGUGGCGGACGGGUGAGUAAUGUCUGGGAAACUGCCUGAUGGAGGGGGAUAACUACUGGAAACGGUAGCUAAUACCGCAUACCAUCGGAUGUGCCCAGAUGGGAUUAGCUAGUAGGUGGGGGAAAGGCUCACCUAGGCGACGAUCCCUAGCUGGUCUGAGAGGAUGACCAGCCACACUGGAACUGAGACACGGGCCAGACUCCUACGGGAGGCAGCAGUGGGGAAUCUUGCACAAUGGGCGAAAGCCUGAUGCAGCCAUGCCGCGUGUAUGAAGAAGGUUUUCGGGUUGUAAAGCACUUUCAGCGGGGAGGCGUUACCCGCAGAAGAAGCCCCGGCUAACUCCGUGCCAGCAGCCGCGGUAAUUC
rnacentral:rRNA from 1 species